rnacentral:rRNA from 1 species
AUUUAAUUCAACAUCGAGGUCGCAAACUUAAUUAUUAAUAAGAACUUGCUAAUUAAAUUACGCUGUUAACCCUAGAGUAACUUAUUAAUAUUAUUUUCUUUACUUUUAAAAAUUUUUUCUUCAAAUGUUACCCCAACAAAAUAUCUCUGAUAUAAAGCUUCUAGGGUCUUCUCGUCCCAAAAGUUAAUAAAAGCAUUUUUACUUUUAAUUUAAAUUCAAAAUUUUUAAAUAAAACUAACCUCUUAGUUUCUACCCUUCAUUCUAGUUCUCAAUUAAAAAA